CUUGAACGCUGGCGGCCGGCCUACCCCAUGCAAGUCGAACGAGUGGCGGACGGGUGAGUAAUGUCUGGGAAACUGCCUGAUGGAGGGGGAUAACUACUGGAAACGGUAGCUCAUACCGCAUACCAUCAGAUGUGCCCAGGUGGGAUUAGCUUGUUGGUGGGGUAACGGCUCCCCAAGGCGACGAUCCCUAGCUGGUCUGAGAGGAUGAACAGCCACACUGGAACUGAGACACGGUCCAGACUCCUACGGGAGGCAGCAGUGGGGAAUAUUGCCCAAUGGGCGAAAGCCUGACGCAGCCAUGCCGCGUGUAUGAAGAAGGCCUUCGGGUUGUAAAGUACUUUCAGCGGGGAGGCGUUACCCGCAGAAGAAGCACCGGCUAACUCCGUGCCAGCAGCCGCGGUAAUAC
rnacentral:rRNA from 1 species